UUUCCUGUGGCUCAGUCAGUAGAGCAUUGUGCUUCCAAUGCAAAGAUCAUUGGUUCUCAUCCAGGGAAA